UACAGAGGGGGCAAGCGUUGUUCGGAUUCAUUGGGCGUAAAGGGUGCGUAGGCGGCGCGGUCAGUCGGGUGUGAAAUCUCGGGGCUUAACUCCGAAACUGCAUUCGAUACUGCCGUGCUUGAGGACUGGAGAGGAGACUGGAAUUUACGGUGUAGCGGUGAAAUGCGUAGAUAUCGUAAGGAAGACCAGUGGCGAAGGCGAGUCUCUGGACAGUUCCUGACGCUGAGGCACGAAGGCCAGGGGAGCAAACGGG
rnacentral:rRNA from 1 species